rnacentral:rRNA from 1 species
UACAGAGGGGGCAAGCGUUGUCCGGAAUUACUGGGCGUAAAGCGUCCGCAGGUGGCUCGGCAAGUGUUAUGUGAAAGCCCCACGCUUAACGUGGGGAGGCCACGACAGACUGGCGGGCUGGAGGGGUGCAGAGGGUCGUGGAAUUGCCGGUGUAGUGGUGAAAUGCGUAGAGAUCGGCAGGAACACCAAGGACGAAGGUAGCGACCUGGGCACCACCUGACACUCAGGGACGACAGCGUGGGGAGCAAACCGG